rnacentral:rRNA from 1 species
CGCCAGACUCCUACGGGAGGCAGCAGUGGGGAAUAUUGCACAAUGGGGGAAACCCUGAUGCAGCAACGCCGCGUGAGUGAAGAAGUAUUUCGAUAUGUAAAGCUCUAUCAGCGGGGAAGAAGAUGACGGUACCUGAGUAAGAAGCCCCGGCUAACUACGUGCCAGCAGCCGCGGUAAUACGUAGGGGGCAAGCGUUAUCCGGAUUUACUGGGUGUAAAGGGAGCGUAGACGGCAGCGCAAGUCUGGAGUGAAAUGCCGGGGCCCAACCCCGGAACUGCUUUGGAAACUGUGCAGCUCGAGUGCAGGAGAGGUAAGCGGAAUUCCUAGUGUAGCGGUGAAAUGCGUAGAUAUUAGGAGGAACACCAGUGGCGAAGGCGGCUUACUGGACUGUAACUGACGUUGAGGCUCGAAAGCGUGGGGAGCAAACAGGAUUAGAUACCCCAGUAAAC